UAGUCCACGCCGUAAACGAUGAGUACUAGGUGUUGCGGGUAUUGACCCCUGCAGUGCCGAAGCUAACGCAUUAAGUACUCCGCCUGGGAAGUACGGCCGCAAGGUUAAAACUCAAAGGAAUUGACGGGGCCCGCACAAGCGGUGGAGUAUGUGGUUUAAUUCGAAGCAACGCGCAGAACCUUACCUGGGCUUAACAUUCCCAGACAGCUCUAGAGAUAGAGUUUUCUCUUCGGAGACUGGGGGAUAGGUGCUGCAUGGCUGUCGUCAGCUCGUGUCGUAAGAUGUUCGGUUAAGUCCGGCAACGAGCGCAACCCCUGUCCUUAGUUACCAUCAUUAAGUUGGGGACUCUAGGGAGACUGCCGGUGUCAAACCGGNGGAAGGUGGGGAUGACGUCAAGUCCUCAUGGCCCUUAUGCCCAGGGGCUACACACGUACUACAAUGGGCACAGACAAAGCGCUGCAAUACCGUGA
rnacentral:rRNA from 1 species